CAGUCGACGAGACUUUUUAUUUGAUGCUUGCAUCUUUUAAAAAGUUGAGUGGCGAACGGGUGAGUAACACGUGGGUAACCUGCCUUAAAGUGGGGGAUAACACUUGGAAACAGGUGCUAAUACCGCAUAACCAUCAAAACCGCCUGGUUUUGAUGUUAAAGAUGGUUCUGCUAUCGCUUUAAGAUGGACCCGCGGCGUAUUAGCUAGUUGGUGAGGUAACGGCUUACCAAGGCAAUGAUACGUAGCCGAACUGAGAGGUUGAUCGGCCACAUUGGGACUGAGACACGGCCCAAACUCCUACGGGAGGCAGCAGUAGGGAAUCUUCCACAAUGGACGAAAGUCUGAUGGAGCAACGCCGCGUGAGUGAAGAAGGUUUUCGGAUCGUAAAACUCUGUUGUCAGAGAAGAACGUGUGUGAGAGUAACUGUUCACGCAGUGACGGUAUCUGACCAGAAAGUCACGGCUAACUACGUGCCAGCAGCCGCGGUAAUACGUAGGUGGCAAGCGUUGUCCGGAUUUAUUGGGCGUAAAGGGAACGCAGGCGGUCUUUUAAGUCUGAUGUGAAAGCCUUCGGCUUAACCGAAGUCGGGCAUUGGAAACUGGGAGACUUGAGUGCAGAAGAGGAGAGUGGAACUCCAUGUGUAGCGGAGAAAUGCGUAGAUAUAUGGAAGAACACCAGUGGCGAAAGCGGCUCUCUGGUCUGUAACUGACGCUGAGGUUCGAAAGCGUGGGUAGCAAACAGGAUUAGAUACCCUGGUAGUCCACGCCGUAAACGAUGAAUGCUAAGUGUUGGAG
rnacentral:rRNA from 1 species